rnacentral:lncRNA from 1 species
CAUUUUUCUUUCUUUGAGAGAGGGAGAGAGAAGGUAGUAUGUUAUCAUUUUCGUUCGUUUCUUUUGUUUUAAAAGGUGAAUUUAGUUGAAAAUAUAAAGCAGCUAUACUUUGAACUUAAAAUCUUGAAUAUCAACUAUCAAACUCUUUGCCACUUACGAUAAAGAAGCUCAACUAUGCAGAAGUCUUUAUACAUGCACGCUUCUGCCGAUAUGUGUUAAGUAGCAUGAACCAUACUUGUAAAAGAAGUCACAAACUCAAACACUGGGGAUUGAAGAGGAAUCUUGUUACUUUUUCCUUUCUUGGUCCCAAAUGAUCCAACAAAGAUCGAUA